AUUGAACGCUGGCGGCAGGCCUAACACAUGCAAGUCGAACGGUAACAGGAAGAAGCUUGCUUCUUUGCUGACGAGUGGCGGACGGGUGAGUAAUGUCUGGGAAACUGCCUGAUGGAGGGGGAUAACUACUGGAAACGGUAGCUAAUACCGCAUAACGUCGCAAGACCAAAGAGGGGGACCUUCGGGCCUCUUGCCAUCGGAUGUGCCCAGAUGGGAUUAGCUAGUAGGUGGGGUAACGGCUCACCUAGGCGACGAUCCCUAGCUGGUCUGAGAGGAUGACCAGCCACACUGGAACUGAGACACGGUCCAGACUCCUGCGGGAGGCAGCAGUGGGGAAUAUUGCACAGUGGGCGCAAGCCUGAUGCAGCCAUGCCGCGUGUAUGAAGAAGGCCUUCGGGUUGUAAAGUACUUUCAGCGGGGAGGAAGGGAGUAAAGUUAAUACCUUUGCUCAUUGACGUUACCCGCAGAAGAAGCACCGGCUAACUCCGUG
rnacentral:rRNA from 1 species